rnacentral:tRNA from 1 species
CGGGAUGUGGCUCAGUCUGGUAGAGCACUUGCUUCGGGAGCAAGGGGUCGUGGGUUCGAAUCCCGCCAUCCCGACCA